rnacentral:rRNA from 1 species
UACGUAGGGGGCGAGCGUUGUUCGGAAUUAUUGGGCGUAAAGCGCGUGUAGGCGGUUCGGUAAGGCGGAUGUGAAAACCCAUGGCUCAACCAUGGGCCGCAUCCGCGACUGCCGGGCUGGAGUGUGGGAGGGGAGAGCGGAAUUCCUGGUGUAGCGGUGAAAUGCGUAGAUAUCAGGAGGAACACCGGUGGCGAAGGCGGCUCUCUGGACCAUUACUGACGCUGAGACGCGAAAGCUAGGGGAGCAAACAGG